UAUACUGCUGAUGGGAAUGCAGUGGAACC
rnacentral:piRNA from 1 species